rnacentral:rRNA from 1 species
AGCGUAGGCGGACAUUUAAGUCAGAGGUGAAAUCCCGGAGCUUAACUUCGGAACUGCCUUUGAUACUGGGUGUCUUGAGUGUGAGAGAGGUAUGUGGAACUCUGAGUGUAGAGGUGAAAUUCGUAGAUAUUCGGAAGAACACCAGUGGCGAAGGCGACAUACUGGCUCAUUACUGACGCUGAGGCUCGAAAGCGUGGGGAGCAAACA